rnacentral:rRNA from 1 species
GUGAGGAAUAUUGGUCAAUGGGCGGGAGCCUGAACCAGCCAAGUCGCGUGAAGGAAGAAGGAUCUAUGGUUCGUAAACUUCUUUUGCAGGGGAAUAAAGUGCAGGACGUGUCCUGUUUUGUAUGUACCCUGAGAAUAAGGAUCGGCUAACUCCGUGCCAGCAGCCGCGGUAAUACGGAGGAUCCGAGCGUUAUCCGGAUUUAUUGGGUUUAAAGGGUGCGUAGGUGGUUUGAUAAGUCAGCGGUGAAAGUUUGCAGCUUAACUGUAAAAAUGCCGUUGAAACUGUCGGACUUGAGUGUAAAUGAGGUAGGCGGAAUGCGUGGUGUAGCGGUGAAAUGCAUAGAUAUCACGCAGAACUCCGAUUGCGAAGGCAGCUUACUAAGCUACAACUGACACUGAAGCACGAAAGCGUGGGGAUCAAACAGGAUUAGAUACCCGGGUAGUCC